rnacentral:rRNA from 1 species
UGCCAGCAGCGCGGUAAUACGCAGGGUGCAAGCGUUACUCGGACUUACUGGGCGUAAAGCGUGCGUAGGUGGUUUGUUAAGUCUGAUGUGAAAGCCCUGGGCUCAACCUGGGAAUGGCACUGGAUACUGGCAAGCUAGAGUGUGGCAGAGGGUAGUGGAAUUCCUGGUGUAGCAGUGAAAUGCGUAGAGAUCAGGAGGAACAUCCGUGGCGAAGGCGACUGCCUGGGCCAACACUGACACUGAGGCACGAAAGCGUGGGGAGCAAACAGG